rnacentral:rRNA from 1 species
GGGCCCGCACAAGCGGUGGAGCAUGUGGAUUAAUUCGACGCAACGCGCAGAACCUUACCUAGCCUUGACAUGUUAGCGUACGGCCCCCAAAAGGGCCUGACCUUCGGAACGCUUACACAGGUGCUGCAUGGCUGUCGUCAGCUCGUGUCGUGAGAUGUUGGUUAAGUCCCGCAACGAGCGCAACCCCUAUCCUUAGUUACCAGCGGUUCGGCCGGGCACUCUAGGGAAACUGCCGGUGUUAAGCCGGAGGAAGGUGGGGAUGACGUCAAGUCCUCAUGGCCCUUACGGCUAGGGCUUCACACGUGCUACAAUGGUUGGUACAGAGAGCUGCAAGACCGCGAGGUG